rnacentral:rRNA from 1 species
AUGAACGCUGGCGGCGUGCCUAAUCCAUGCAAGUCGCGCGAACGGACGAGAAGCUUGCUUCUCUGAUGUUAGCGGCGGACGGGUGAGUAACACGUGGAUAACCUACCUAUAAGACUGGGAUAACUUCGGGAAACCGGAGCUAAUACCGGAUAAUAUUUUGAACCGCAUGGUUCAAAAGUAAAAGACGGUCUUGCUGUCACUUAUAGAUGGAUCCGCGCUGCAUUAGCUAGUUGGUAAGGUAACGGCUUACCAAGGCAACGAUGCAUAGCCGACCUGAGAGGGUGAUCGGCCACACUGGAACUGAGACACGGUCCAGACUCCUACGGGAGGCAGCAGUAGGGAAUCUUCCGCAAUGGGCGAAAGCCUGACGGAGCAACGCCGCGUGAGUGAUGAAGGUCUUCGGAUCGUAAAACUCUGUUAUUAGGGAAGAACAUAUGUGUAAGUAACUGUGCACAUCUUGACGGUACCUAAUCAGAAAGCCACGGCUAACUACGUG